rnacentral:rRNA from 1 species
AGUCGAGCGAACGGACGAGAAGCUUGCUUCUCUGAUGUUAGCGGCGGACGGGUGAGUAACACGUGGAUAACCUACCUAUAAGACUGGGAUAACUUCGGGAAACCGGAGCUAAUACCGGAUAAUAUUUUGAACCGCAUGGUUCAAAAGUGAAAGACGGUCUUGCUGUCACUUAUAGAUGGAUCCGCGCUGCAUUAGCUAGUUGGUAAGGUAACGGCUUACCAAGGCAACGAUGCAUAGCCGACCUGAGAGGGUGAUCGGCCACACUGGAACUGAGACACGGUCCAGACUCCUACGGGAGGCAGCAGUAGGGAAUCUUCCGCAAUGGGCGAAAGCCUGACGGAGCAACGCCGCGUGAGUGAUGAAGGUCUUCGGAUCGUAAAACUCUGUUAUUAGGGAAGAACAUAUGUGUAAGUAACUGUGCACAUCUUGACGGUACCUAAUCAGAAAGCCACGGCUAACUACGUGCCAGCAGCCGCGGUAAUACGUAGGUGGCAAGCGUUAUCCGGAAUUAUUGGGCGUAAAGCGCGCGUAGGCGGUUUUUUAAGUCUGAUGUGAAAGCCCACGGCUCAACCGUGGAGGGUCAUUGGAAACUGGAAAACUUGAGUGCAGAAGAGGAAAGUGGAAUUCCAUGUGUAGCGGUGAAAUGCGCAGAGAUAUGGAGGAACACCAGUGGCGAAGGCGACUUUCUGGUCUGUAACUGACGCUG